UACGGAGGGAGCAAGCGUUGUCCGGAUUUACUGGGCGUAAAGAGCGCGUAGGCGGUCCGUUAAGUCGGCUGUGAAAUCGCUGGGCUUAACCCAGCAAUGUCAGUCGAUACUGGUGGACUCGAGUCCGGGAGAGGGAAGUGGAAUUGCUGGUGUAGCGGUGGAAUGCGUAGAUAUCAGCAAGAACACCAGUGGCGAAGGCGGCUUCCUGGACCGGUACUGACGCUGAGGCGCGAAAGCUAGGGGAGCGAACGGGAUUAGAUACCCCCGUA
rnacentral:rRNA from 1 species